rnacentral:rRNA from 1 species
CGCUGGCGGUAUGCUUAACACAUGCAAGUCGAACGGAAGUCUUCGGACUUUAGUGGCGGACGGGUGAGUAACGCGUGAGAAUCUGGCUUUAGGUCGGGGACAACAGUUGGAAACGACUGCUAAUACCGGAUAUGCCGAGAGGUGAAAGAUUAAUUGCCUGAAGAAGAGCUCGCGUCUGAUUAGCUAGUUGGUGGGGUAAGAGCUUACCAAGGCGACGAUCAGUAGCUGGUCUGAGAGGACGAUCAGCCACACUGGGACUGAGACACGGCCCAGACUCCUACGGGAGGCAGCAGUGGGGAAUUUUCCGCAAUGGGCGAAAGCCUGACGGAGCAAUACCGCGUGAGGGAGGAAGGCUCUUGGGUUGUAAACCUCUUUUCUUAGGGAAGAAAAAAAUGACGGUACCUAAGGGAUCAGCAUCGGCUAACUCCGUGCCAGCAGCCGCGGUAAUACGGAGGAUGCAAGCGUUAUCCGGAAUGAUUGGGCGUAAAGCGUCCGCAGGUGGCAUUUCAAGUCUGCGGUCAA